rnacentral:rRNA from 1 species
UACGGGGGGGGCAAGCGUUGUUCGGAAUUACUGGGCGUAAAGCGUGCGUAGGCGGUCCCGCAAGUCCGCUGUGAAAGCCCCGAGCUUAACUUGGGAACUGCAGUGGAAACUAUGGGACUUGAAUCCGGCAGAGGGGGGUGGAAUGCCACGUGUAGCAGUGAAAUGCGUAGAGAUGUGGCGGAACACCGAUGGCGAAGGCAGCCCCCUGGGCUGAGAUUGACGCUCAGGCACGAAAGCGUGGGGAGCAAACAGG